rnacentral:rRNA from 1 species
CCUACGGGGGGCAGCAGUGAGGAAUAUUGGUCAAUGGGCGCGAGCCUGAACCAGCCAAGUAGCGUGAGUGAAGAAGUAUUUCGGUAUGUAAAGCUCUGUCAGCAGGGAAGAAAGAAAUGACGGUACCUGACCAAGAAGCCCCGGCUAACUACGUGCCAGCAGCCGCGGUAAUACGUAGGGGGCAAGCGUUAUCCGGAAUUACUGGGUGUAAAGGGAGCGUAGACGGUUAAGUAAGUCUGGAGUGAAAGGCCGGGGCCCAACCCCGGGACUGCUCUGGAAACUAUUGAACUUGAGUGCAGGAGAGGUAAGCGGAAUUCCUAGUGUAGCGGUGAAAUGCGUAGAUAUUAGGAGGAACACCAGUGGCGAAGGCGGCUUACUGGACUGUAACUGACGUUGAGGCUCGAAAGCGUGGGGAGCAAACAGGAUUAGAUACCCUUGUAGUC